GAACUCAUCCCCCUGCUGCAUUAAAAUGUGUUGAAUUCUUUAUUUUGUUUACAUUUCUUAACUCAUUUUUAUUUCCUUUUACCUUAUCCAAAACAGACCUGCUGUCAAAUGGAUUAUAUAAAGUACAUGUGGAACUACCUAAAAACACAAAUUCUAUCAGAAUCAAAUGAACUAUGAUUAUGGCUGCUAGUGAUGCCUCGAAGACCACAGACUAGGACAGACAGACUCCUCUAGGAGGGACAAUCUCUCCAUCCCAAAUUUAGAAAUCAUAU
rnacentral:lncRNA from 1 species